GUAUUACAGUACAACGCGUAAGUAAGGAAUCUGCGCGGAUGCAGGUGGAUCUCUCCGCCCGUAGUCACUCAACAGAAGCGUAUACGACGGGGGGCAUGGACGUGUACAGUACAUGUUCUCAAUAAGCACAGGAUACAUUGUCAAAAAUCGCGUUUGUUGCUAUGCGUGAGUCUUGUGCCAGUUACGUCCAGAUUUCUAGACGGUAGCAUCUUAUUGUCGUCUUCAGGUAGUCAUGUUAAGUUAUCUGUAACAUUUCGUACAAGCCGAUGAAGAAGUACUUUGUCCGGCCUUAAGCAAUACUGUGCCGACACGCUGAGAUAAUAUUCAGCGUAACACACCAGAGCGAAUGUGGUAGGCACACUAAAGAACACGGCGAUGCAGUACUACUGCAGAUCUCAGCCACGUGACGGCCCUGUUUCGAGAGCUGUUCACAACGGACUACUCCAGUAUUGCCCGGUUGCUGCAAAAAGAAGCGGGUAUCCAGUUUUAAGUCAGACACACAAGCUCCAGCGUGAUCCUGUGAUACAUGGCUGCACUGGCUAUGUACCAUGAAGUUUACCUGCAAUUAAUGUAAUUUCUAAUGUCUGUGUUGUACCAAAUAUAUAGUUGUUCACUCCUCUGGCUAAACAGUUAAUACCACAGACCAAGAAAUUAAAAAAAAGUAAGCACAUAUGUUUCUCCGUACCGUAACUUUAUGUAAAAUAUAAAAUAUUGCCUGUGAA